rnacentral:rRNA from 1 species
AUUGAACGCUGGCGGCAGGCCUAACACAUGCAAGUCGAGCGAGCGGCGGACAGGUGAGUAAUGUAUGGGGACUGCCCGAUAGAGGGGGAUAACUCCUGGAAACGGUAGCUAAUACAGCAUCCUAUAGGAUAGCCCAAAUGGGAUUAGCAAGUUGGUGAGGUAAUGGCUCACCUAGGCGACGAGCCCUAGCUGGUCUGAGAGGAUGAUCAGCCACACUGGGACUGAGACACGGCCCAGACUCCUACGGAGGCAGCAGGGGGGAAUAUUGCACAAUGGGCGCAAGCCUGAUACAGCCAUGCCGCGUGUAUGAAGAAGGCCUUAGGGUUGUAAAGUACUGUCAGUCGGGAGGCGUUACCGACAGAAGAAGCACCGGCUAACUCCGUGCCAGCAGCCGCGGUAAUUC